rnacentral:rRNA from 1 species
UCCGUAGGCAGCGAGCGUUGUUCGGAAUUACUGGGCGUAAAGAGUGUGUAGGCGGUGUUCCCAGUCUGUUGUGAAAUCUCCCGGCUUAACUGGGAGGGUGCAGCGGAAACUAGAACGCUAGAGGGUGGGAGAGGUAAGCGGAAUUCCUGGUGUAGCGGUGAAAUGCGUAGAUAUCAGGAGGAACACCUGUGGUGUAGACAGCUUACUGGACCACUUCUGACGCUGAGACACGAAAGCGUGGGUAGCAAACAGG